UACGAAGGGUGCAAGCGUUAAUCGGAAUUACUGGGCGUAAAGCGUGCGUAGGCGGUUUGUUAAGUCUGUUGUGAAAUCCCCGGGCUCAACCUGGGAAUGGCAAUGGAUACUGGCAGGCUAGAGUGUGUCAGAGGAUGGUGGGAUUCCCGGUGUAGCGGUGAAAUGCGCAGAUAUCGGGAGGAACACCAAUGGCGAAGGCAGCUUGCUGGGACGGUACUGACGCUGAGGCGCGAAAGCGUGGGGAGCAAACAGG
rnacentral:rRNA from 1 species